GCAAACUUGGUCAUUUAGAGGAAGUAAAAGUCGUAACAAGGUUUCCGUAGGUGAACCUGCGGAAGGAUCAUUAUUGAAUUAAUGGAUUUGAGUUGUUUGCUGGCUUUUUUAAGCAUGUGCACACUCAUUUCUGUUUUUUUCCUUUACACCACAUGUGAACUUCUGUAGAUCCGAAAGCUUCUUGUCAAACCUGUUGGAAACAAACCAACUUGGUUUUGGUUUGAGAAAUUGCAGCGCAUUCCUGCUUUUUCUUGAUUUUUGGAUCUAUAUUUUUUUAUAAACCUUUUAAUAAAAAGUAUGGGCAUGUAAAGAAAAAAAUGGAAUAAAAAUACAACUUUCAACAACGGAUCUCUUGGCUCUCGCAUCGAUGAAGAACGCAGC
rnacentral:misc_RNA from 1 species